rnacentral:lncRNA from 1 species
CCGAACCCUCAUCCCGAAUCCUCCUCCCGAACAGCUCCAUCCUGAACCAUCCUGUCCCGAACCCUCAUCCCGAACUGCUCCAUCCCAAACCGCUCCAUCCCAAACGGCUCCAUCCCGAACUGCUUGUUAUCCCGAACCCUCAUAUCGAACCCUCAUCCCGAACCCUCAUCCCGAACCGCUCAUCCAUCCCGAACCGCUCAUACUGAACUGCUCCAUCCCGAACCGCUCCAUCCCGAACCCUCAUCCCAAACUGCUCCAUCCCGAACGGCUCCAUCCCGAACCCUCAUCCCAAACUGCUCCAUCCCGAACGGCUCCGUCCCGAACGGCUCCAUCCCGAACCGCUCAUCCCAAGCCCUCAUCCUGAUCCCUCAUCCCAAACCCACAUCCUGAACCCUUAUCCCGGGAUAUGGCCCAGGGGGAUGCAGGCAGGCAAUGAACGUGUAGCCCAUGAAGAUAAUUCUUCAUGGCCAGAAAACAAUGCUGAGAUCACAGCUGUGGAGUGCUCCAGACAACCCACACUGGGAAAAUCCAGCACCUUUGUGGCCAUGGAUCUGUGCUGGCCAUGAACCACAGGGAUACUUGGAGCAUCAUUCCUGCAGCUGCCUCCUGCCCCAGGGAGGCAAAAGAUGGGCCAAACUCCAGAUCCUAUCAAUGAAAGGAUAA